AAGCUUCAUGGGUAGGUUACCAACGUCCUUGUCCCAACCAAGCUCACAGCGACCGCCUUCACGCAAGGGGCUCGAGGAUCUCUGUCAUUCCCUUUAACGCUAACAAAAAUCUGACUAACCGGACAUGAUGGCAGCAAGGUUUCUCCGCCGUUCCCUGCCCGUGCUGAGGCAAGCGCGCUCCUACGCCGAGGCCGUCUCCGGAGCCCCGCAGAUGUCCUUCACUUUCGCCUCCCCGACACAGGUGUUUUUCAACGGGGCCAACGUGAAACAGGUGGACGUGCCCACGCUCACCGGUGCGUUCGGUAUCCUCCCGGCCCACGUGCCCACCCUGCAGGUGCUGCGGCCCGGCGUCGUUACGGUCUUCGCUGACGACGGCCCCGCUGCCAAAUACUUUGUGAGCAGCGGGUCAGUAACAGUCAAUGCUGAUUCUUCAGUGCAACUGCUGGUUGAGGAGGCAGCUCCUCUGGACCAGCUGGACAUCGCUGUUGCUAAGGCCAACCUGGAGAAGGCCCAGUCUGAAAUGGCUGCCACAUCCGACGAGGCGGCGAGGGCGGCAGUUCAGAUCAGCAUAGACGCCAACGAGGCCAUCAUCAAGGCUCUGGAGUAGACCUGUGGUACGGCGUCUCCCCUGCUGCACCCCCGUGCUGUGAGAGAGAGAAAGAUGUAAACUUUUUCUGUUUCUUUGAUGGAAAUUAAUGGUCCACCUGUGUUUCCUGCUCAGUCACGUCAGUGUCCAGAAGAUUCCAUACUUGCUUUGUACAGUGGAUGAAUUACAAAAUAAAUUUAUUUGGAAAUA